CAGCAGCAGCCGGCUGCCUGACCAACAGGAAGGGCGAAAUGGGGCAGCUUUUCACCAGCUUGUGGAGCAUGUUCAAAGGAAAUAAGUCCUACAAGCUGCUCAUCCUUGGCCUGAACAACGCCGGUAAGACAUCCAUCUUGUACUACCUGCAGUUGGGGCACUCCAUCGCCACCCAGCCCACCCUCGGCGGCAACACGGAAACGCUCACCAUCACGCACCCGCAGACGAACAACACCAUCACCUUCACUUGCUGGGACUUGGGUGGACAGGAGCAGCUGCGAGAGUCGUGGAAGCUUUAUUACGAUCACACCGACGCCGUUCUCUUCGUCGUCGACGCCGCUGACGCCGUGAAGUUCCCCAAGGCGAAAGAGGUUUUGCACCAGCUGCUGCACGGUGAGCCAUCGCUGCAGCACGCCACUCUUCUUGUGCUAGCAAACAAGCAGGAUAUGGAGUCUGCAGCAGCCCCAGCCGAGCUGAUCGAGUACUUGGAACUCGGGAAGCUGAAGGACCGAACGUGGACGCUCAUGGGCUGCAGCACCUCCACCGGCGAGUCGCUGCGCGAGGCCAUGAACUGGAUCGCCGAGAACGUCUAAGUCACUGCGGGCAGCGGCGUGCGUGAGAGACACCGAAAGAAAUGUGCCCAUACGCAAACACAGGCGCAGAGACAGGCAUGCACACGUUUUGGGGUCCACCAAUCGGAGGAGGGAAAGAAGUUGGAGGGGAGUUGUGUGGGCCCUGCACGCGCACAGGCACGCGAGGCUCCUCCUCGCGCUUCUUCCUUCCCCUCCCGCUCUCCCGCCCUGCUGCUGAUCCGAGUCGUUGUUGGGCGUGUCUUUGUAUCAUUCUGUGUAUGCCUAUGUGUCUAUGUGUGUAUGUACCUGCGCGUGUGUGUGUGUGCGCGCGUUGACUCCUGCUGAUGCUCCCUCUCUCUCUUCCUUGCCCCUUUCUUCUCUUGUGUGUCGGCGUCCACAUUAGGGUGACGCAGGGCGCCUGCACGUGUAUGAGCGCUGCCGUGUGCAGCGUCUGUGGACAUCUAUCACUCAUCUGCUUUCUGUCCUCUGUGAGUUCGCAGUGGCGUGCCUACGCGUUGGGCCACAUCACUUGUGAAAGGUGUUGAUGGGGUUUUGCGGGCUGCGUGUGCGUGUCGUUCUUCCCUCAUGUCUCGACACUUUAGGACGCUCAUUUUCCAGUUGAAGGAGAGGAGGUUGGGGGGGCAGCAGGAGUAGCGGUGGAUGGAUGCUUCGGAUGGUGUAGUGUUUCUUGGCUGUGGCCAUUCCCCCGCCAUCACCACCCCGCCUCAUCUCGCUAAGCGCUUCACGCACACAAAC
rnacentral:misc_RNA from 1 species